rnacentral:misc_RNA from 1 species
GUUAUGUUCUGAGCAUCCAAGCUUUCUGGUCCAUUUCGAAUCCAAGACAUUUGUCCAGAUGGUCCACUGACCUUAGUGGCGAAAACAACACUAUCGCGAGGGACAUUUCUUUCUCUAAUCCAACGCCCAAAAUACUCCUCACUUCUGCCAUGAGUUUCUGCACGCUGGGGUACUGGAUACAUUUCAGCAGAAUCAAAGAAGUUAAUUCCGGAGUUGAAAGCUUUGUCGAGCAGUUGAAAUGAUUCAGCCAAUGUGUUUUGCUCACCGAAAGUCAUGGUUCCUAAACAGAGUCUGGAGACGGUCAAAUCUGGAGCAAGGUUGAAGAGAGGAACUGCAAACGCCAUUAGUGACUGCACAGAAGAAAC